rnacentral:rRNA from 1 species
UAGGGAAUCUUCCGCAAUGGGCGAAAGCCUGACGGAGCAACGCCGCGUGAGUGAUGAAGGUCUUCGGAUCGUAAAACUCUGUUAUUAGGGAAGAACAUAUGUGUAAGUAACUGUGCACAUCUUGACGGUACCUAAUCAGAAAGCCACGGCUAACUACGUGCCAGCAGCCGCGGUAAUACGUAGGUGACAAGCGUUAUCCGGAAUUAUUGGGCGUAAAGCGCGCGUAGGCGGUUUUUUAAGUCUGAUGUGAAAGCCCACGGCUCAACCGUGGAGGGUCAUUGGAAACUGGAAAACUUGAGUGCAGAAGAGGAAAGUGGAAUUCCAUGUGUAGCGGUGAAAUGCGCAGAGAUAUGGAGGAACACCAGUGGCGAAGGCGACUUUCUGGUCUGUAACUGACGCUGAUGUGCGAAAGCGUGGGGAUCAAACA